AACGAACGCUGGCGGCAUGCCUAACACAUGCAAGUCGAACGAGACCUUCGGGUCUAGUGGCGCACGGGUGCGUAACGCGUGGGAACCUGCCCUUAGGUUCGGAAUAACUCCCCGAAAGGGGUGCUAAUACCGGAUAAUGUCUUCGGACCAAAGAUUUAUCGCCUUUGGAUGGGCCCGCGUUGGAUUAGCUAGUUGGUAGGGUAAAAGCCUACCAAGGCGACGAUCCAUAGCUGGUCUGAGAGGAUGAUCAGCCACACUGGGACUGAGACACGGCCCAGACUCCUACGGGAGGCAGCAUUGGGGAAUAUUGGACAAUGGGCGAAAGCCUGAUCCAGCAAUGCCGGGUGAGUGAUGAAGGCCUUAGGGUUGUAAAGCUCUUUUACCCGGGAUGAUAAUGACAGUACCGGGAGAAUAAGCCCCGGCUAACUCCGU
rnacentral:rRNA from 1 species